GUGGGGAAUCUUCCACAAUGGACGAAAGUCUGAUGGAGCAACGCCGCGUGAGUGAAGAAGGGUUUCGGCUCGUAAAGCUCUGUUGUCGGGGACGAAUGAGCAGUAUUUGAAUAAAGUAGUGCAAUGACGGUACCUGACGAGGAAGCCACGGCUAACUACGUGCCAGCAGCCGCGGUAAUACGUAGGUGGCAAGCGUUGUCCGGAAUUAUUGGGCGUAAAGCGAGCGCAGGCGGGAAGGUAUGUCGGUCUUAAAAGUGCGGGGCUCAACCCCGUGAUGGGAUCGAAACUAUCUUUCUUGAGUGCAGGAGAGGAAAGUGGAAUUCCUAGUGUAGCGGUGAAAUGCGUAGAUAUUAGGAGGAACACCAGUGGCGAAGGCGACUUUCUGGACUGUAACUGACGCUGAGGCUCGAAAGCCAGGGGAGCGAACGGGAUUAGAUACCCCGGUAGUCC
rnacentral:rRNA from 1 species